GCUCGGUUGCUCAGUUGGUAAAGCACUCGCCUAGCAUACAAGAGUCGUGGGCUCGAAUCCAACCUGAGAACG
rnacentral:tRNA from 1 species